CAACCCUCAGGCCCCCCCGGGGGCCCGGUGUUGGGGGCCGGCCCCGGCCGCCCCCGAAAUGCAGUGGCGACCUCGCCGCGGCCUCCCCUGCGUAGUAGCACACACCUCGCACCGGAGCGCGGAGACGGUCACGCCGUAAAACGCCCCAUCUCAAG
rnacentral:misc_RNA from 1 species